GGCCCACCUUAAACCACUCCACUAGUCCACUUCCUCGUCUCGUCGCACACCGAUGGAAAAUUGCCGCCGCGGAGGCGAGAUCGCCGGAGGAGACCCAGCGACACGUCGCCGCCGCCGUCCCAUGCAAGGACGCCGCCUUCCGCCUCCUCCUCCUCACCCUUGCGCCUCACCCUCCUCGCCCCUCUCCUCGUUCUAGUCCUCCUCCUCUCCGCCCUUCGCUUCUCCGGUCGCCUCUCCUGGUCCCCUCCCCUCCCUCGGACGCAGCACACGACUCCCCUCUCUGUCUAUGAGCGCGGCCUCGUCAAGCGCGACAUUUCCUCCCGCGAGAUCCUCGCUGAACUCCAAAGGUUAUGACAUGGCAAAGUUGUUCAGCGGAAAUCUUACUCACAUAUCACCUGUGUGGUACGAUUUGAAGAGUGAUGGGAACAGGCUAAUUCUGGAAGGAGAGCACAAUUUUGAUGCGGCAUGGGUCUCUGAACUUCAAAGCAACGGGUCUCUGGCACUUCAACUUGUUAAGCAGCUGGGGGAGGCUUUGCAUUCAAUCAGUUCAGAACCAAGUAACCGCCAUUUGGAACUAAUUUAUGUUAUCCCAGCCCCGAGAAUGCAAGAGCUCAAUAAUCAAGACUUCAGAUCAGAAGAACUGCAGUUGGCUGACUCAUUAGAUGGUUUCUCCCUUAUGACAUACGAUUUCUCAGGGCCUCAAAGUCCUGGUCCCAGUGCACCUCUGAAAUGGGUACAGCAUUCUUUAACAACACUUCUUGCAGCCAAGGGGUCUUCUUGAAGCCAUUCUUGGAUGAUAUUCCUUGGCAUCAAUUUUUACGGGAAUGAUUUUCUACUUUCUAGAGUUCAACAUGAUCAUGUUGAUGUACCAUCGGAAGCAUGUGGCACAUUUCCUAAGUGCAAUAUAACCUUCGGGUUUAUCUUUGACCUGCACUUGAGAAGAUCUGUUUUUUUUUCCUGGACAAUUGCAUUCAUCUUGAAGCAGAUUUAUAUGUCACCGAAUUCAACCGGGAUGAAAUUUUGAGAAGAAAUCGGCAUAGAAGCGACUUUGAUCUUCGACGACCGAGGCUAUUGGACUUUACUUGUCAUUUUUAAUGGUUAGGUGCUAACCCGCAUUCUGGCUAAUUUCCUUGUGGAGAAGUUGGCCUCUUCCGUUUCCCAUUAUGGGUCUACUGCAUAAUGUACAUAAUAUAUGUAUAUAUUAAUGUACGUCAGAAAUAUCUUAACAUAUGGAUAAUUUCUUGUCAAGAUGAAUAUUCUCUAAUGCCGGAGGAUAUCCCUUUCAUCUAUUUACUAUAUAACAUCAUUUCCCUAAUUCUUCUAGUUUCUUUAAUAGGUGCAAUUACUAUGGCUCGACAAUAAGAAAUACUUAGAAUGAGUCAAAAUUCUUAGAAUUUCAAAUCUAAAAUAAAUAACUAAAGAAUCACAAUUUUGAUUUAAAUUCAAACAUCCUUUUCGUAAAUCCAAACAACCUUUUUGUAGGCGUUCU